GAAAUGCGAUAAGUAAUGUGAAUUGCAGAAUUCAGUGAAUCAUCGAAUCUUUGAACGCACAUUGCGCCCGCCAGUAUUCUGGCGGGCAUGCCUGUUCGAGCGUCAUUUCAACCAUCAAGCCCCCGGCUUGUGUUGGGGACCUGCGGCUGCCCGCAGGCCCUGAAAAACAGUGGCGGACUCGCUGUCACACCGAGCGUAGUAGCAUACAUUCUCGCUCAGGGCGUGCUGCGGGUUCCGGCCGUUAAACGACCUUCAUAACCCAAGGUUGACCUCGGAUCAGGUAGGAAGACCCGCUGAACUUAAGC
rnacentral:misc_RNA from 1 species